rnacentral:rRNA from 1 species
CCUACGGGAGGCAGCAGUGAGGAAUAUUGGUCAAUGGACGAGAGUCUGAACCAGCCAAGUCGCGUGAAGGAUGACUGCCCUAUGGGUUGUAAACCUCUUUUAUAUGGGAAUAAAAUGUUCCACGUGUGGGGUUUUGUAUGUACCAUAUGAAUAAGGAUCGGCUAACUCCGUGCCAGCAGCCGCGGUAAUACGGAGGAUGCGAGCGUUAUCCGGAUUUAUUGGGUUUAAAGGGGGCGUAGGUGGAUUGUUAAGGCAGUUGUGAAAGUUUGCGGCUCAACCGUAGAAUUGCAGUUGAAACUGGCAGUCUUGAGUACAGUAGAGGUGGGCGGAAUGCGUGGUGUAGCGGUGAAAUGCUUAGAUAUCACGAAGAACUCCGAUUGCGAAGGCAGCUCACUGGACUGCAACUGACACUGAGGCACGAAAGUGUGGGUAUCAAACAGGAUUAGAUACCCGGGUAGUC